GACGAACGCUGGCGGCGUGCCUAAUACAUGCAAGUCGAACGCACAGUUUAUACUGUAGCUUGCUACACCAUAGACGGUGAGUUGCGAACGGGGGAGUAACGCUUAGGUAACCUGCCUGGUAGCUGGGGAUAACUAUUGGAAACGAUAGCUAGUACCGCAUCAUAUUGAUUAUUGCAUGAUAAUUUAUUGAAAGGUGCAAUUGCCCCACUACCAGAUGGCCCUGCGUUGUAUUAGCUAGUAGGUGAGGUAACGGCGCACCUAGGCGAGGUUACAUAGCCGCCCUGAGAGGGCGAGCAGCCACCCUGGGAGGGUGACACGCCACAGACUCAUAGGGGAGGCAGCCGUAGGGAAACGUCGGCAAUGGGUGAGAGUCUGACCGCGAAACGCCGAGGGCGUGAAGAAGGUCUCCGGGUCGUAAAGGUCUGUUGUCAGGGAAGAACGGGUGUGAGCGUGGAACGAUCACACUGUGACGGUAACUGAUAAGAAAGCGACGGCUAACUACGUG
rnacentral:rRNA from 1 species